rnacentral:rRNA from 1 species
UCGUAAGAGGAAGUAUAAGGUUGACGCCUGCCCGGUCUCAAGGUUAAGAGGAUGCGUCAGUCGCAAGAUGAAGCGUUGAAUUGAAGCCCGAGUAAACGGCGGCCGUAACUAUAACGGUCCUAAGGUAGCGAAAUUCCUUGUCGGUUAAAUACCGACCUGCAUGAAUGGCGUAACGAGAUGGGAGCUGUCUCAACCAGAGAUUCAGUGAAAUUGUAGUGGAGGUGAAAAUUCCUCCUACCCGCGGCAAGACGGAAAGACCCCGUGGACCUUUACUACAACUUAGCACUGCUAAUGGGAAUAUCAUGCGCAGAUAGGCUGGGAGGCUUUGAAGUAAGG